rnacentral:rRNA from 1 species
GACGGGGGGGGCAAGUGUUCUUCGGAAUGACUGGGUGUAAAGGGCACGUAGGCGGUGAAUCGGGUUGAAAGUGAAAGUCGCCAAAAAGUGGCGGAAUGCUCUCGAAACCAAUUCACUUGAGUGAGACAGAGGAGAGUGGAAUUUCGUGUGUAGGGGUGGAAAUCCGUAGAUCUACGAAGGAACGCCAAAAGCGAAGGCAGCUCUCUGGGUCCCUACCGACGCUGGGGUGCGAAAGCAUGGGGAGCGAACAGG